UGGUGUGUUAAUGGUGUUUGCUGCUGUGGAUCCUGUGCCAUUUGGGGAUUUAUAUAGGAACAAAAAAGAAAUUGGAGAAUGGAGUAAAGUGGAAGUAGUGUGAAAUCUAACCAAUAAAAAAGGGAAAAUAAAACAAAAUAAUAAUUAAUGAGAAGGGUGAGGAAGCAUUAACAGCCCCCCAUGAGAAGAAAUGCAGCAAGGAAAGGGAAGGUCACAUGGGCUAAGCGUUCGAUAUGGUUUUAGGGGAAAAGAAGAAGAAGAAAAGUUAUUGUUAAUAUACUGGUGUAGGAAAUCGCGUUCAAAAUGAAUCUCUUCUUCUCUUUUUUUUUAUCUUUUGUUAUAAGAUUUUCUUUUCUUCUCCGUGAAUUUGUUGAUCAUAUUGAUCGAAAAAUCACGUUAAUCUCGUGAUCUUGUUUAUCAUCAUGUUCAAUAUGUGAUCCUGUUAGUUGAUUUCU
rnacentral:lncRNA from 1 species